GUGGAGCACAAUUGACCUCCCACUGGGACACAGCAACAGGAAAUAAUCACCUUGGCUUUACGACUGCAGCUCUCCUCAGCUACAAAGGUCUGGAGGAAUCACUCAAUGGCUAUUUUAACCAUUUAGAGACACAGCAAAAGCAAACUUUCAAGAUCAAUUCAAAAGUAGUAACUGCCACUGUUAGUAACAAUGAGACAACCAAUCUAAAGAAACCAGUAAAUCUCACGUUUUCUCACUUGGAGAAAAAGAAUGAGAAGCAUAGGCCUAUGUGUGUGUUUUGGGAUCCUGAACUGGAAGGGGGCGCGUGGUC